rnacentral:rRNA from 1 species
CCUACGGGUGGCAGCAGUGAGGAAUAUUGGUCAAUGGGCGAGAUCCUGAACCAGCCAAGCCGCGUGAGGGAAGACGGCCCUAUGGGUUGUAAACUUCUUUUGUCUGGGAAUAAAACCCUGGACGUGUCCCGUACUGUGUGUAUCCGAUGAAAAAGGAUCGGCUAACUCCGUGCCAGCAGCCGCGGUAAUACGGAGGAUACGACCGUUAUUCGGAUUUAUUGGGGUUAAAGGGAGCGUAGGCGGGUUUUUAAGGUCGUGGUGAAAGUGGCGGGCUCAACCCCGGACGUGCCGUUGAAACUGGCAGACUGGAGUUGGCGAGAGGUACGCGGAAUGCGCGGUGUAGCGGUGAAAUGCAUAGAUAUCGCGCAGAACUCCGAUUGCGAAGGCAGCGUACCGGCGUCAGACUGACGCUGAGGCACGAAAGCGUGGGGAUCGAACAGGAUUAGAUACCCCUGUAGUC